rnacentral:rRNA from 1 species
AUUGAACGCUGGCGGCAUGCCUUACACAUGCAAGUCGAACGGUAACGGGCCUUCGGGUGCCGCCGAGUGGCGAACGGGUGAGUAAUACAUCGGAACGUGCCCGAUCGUGGGGGAUAACGAGGCGAAAGCUUUGCUAAUACCGCAUACGAUCUACGGCUGAAAGCAGGGGACCGCAAGGCCUUGCGCGGACGGAGCGGCCGAUGGCAGAUUAGGUAGUUGGUGGGAUAAAAGCUUACCAAGCCGACGAUCUGUAGCUGGUCUGAGAGGAUGAUCAGCCACACUGGGACUGAGACACGGCCCAGACUCCUACGGGAGGCAGCAGUGGGGAAUUUUGGACAAUGGGCGCAAGCCUGAUCCAGCCAUGCCGCGUGCAGGAUGAAGGCCUUCGGGUUGUAAACUGCUUUUGUAAGGAACGAAAAGCCUUCUUUUAAUACAGGAGGGUCAUGACGGUACCGUAAGAAUAAGCACCGGCUAACUACGUG